rnacentral:lncRNA from 1 species
CAGAGUUCAAGGAGGCCUUCUCCCUCUUUGACAAGGAUGGAGAUGGCACUAUCACCACCAAGGAGUUGGGGACAGUGAUGAGAUCCCUGGGACAGAACCCCACUGAAGCAGAGCUGCAGGAUAUGAUCAAUGAGGUGGAUGCAGAUGGGAACGGGACCAUUGACUUCCCGGAGUUCCUGACCAUGAUGGCCAGAAAGAUGAAGGACACAGACAGUGAGGAGGAGAUCCGAGAGGCGUUCCGUGUCUUUGACAAGGAUGGGAAUGGCUACAUCAGCGCCGCAGAGCUGCGUCACGUAAUGACGAACCUGGGGGAGAAGCUGACCGAUGAGGAGGUGGAUGAGAUGAUCAGGGAGGCUGACAUCGAUGGAGAUGGCCAGGUCAAUUAUGAAGUUUGUACAGAUGAUGACUGCAAAGUGAAGGCCCCCCGGGCAGCUGGCGAUGCCCGUUCUCUUGAUCUCUCUCUUCUCGCGCGCGCACUCUCUCUUCAACACUCCCCUGCGUACCCCGGUUCUAGCAAACACCAAUUGAUUGACUGAGAAUCUGAUAAAGCAACAAAAGAUUUGUCCCAAGCUGCAUGAUUGCUCUUUCUCCUUCUUCCCUGAGUCUCUCUCCAUGCCCCUCAUCUCUUCCUUUUGCCCUCGCCUCUUCCAUCCAUGUCUUCCAAGGCCUGAUGCAUUCAUAAGUUGAAGCCCUCCCCAGAUCCCCUUGGGGAGCCUCUGCCCUCCUCCAGCCCGGAUGGCUCUCCUCCAUUUUGGUUUGUUUCCUCUUGUUUGUCAUCUUAUUUUGGGUGCUGGGGUGGCUGCCAGCCCUGUCCCGGGACCUGCUGGGAGGGACAAGAGGCCCUCCCCCAGGCAGAAGAGCAUGCCCUUUGCCGUUGCAUGCAACCAGCCCUGUGAUUCCACGUGCAGAUCCCAGCAGCCUGUUGGGGCAGGGGUGCCAAGAGAGGCAUUCCAGAAGGACUGAGGGGGCGUUGAGGAAUUGUGGCGUUGACUGGAUGUGGCCCAGGAGGGGGUCGAGGGGGCCAACUCACAGAAGGGGACUGACAGUGGGCAACACUCACAUCCCACUGGCUGCUGUUCUGAAACCAUCUGAUUGGCUUUCUGAGGUUUGGCUGGGUGGGGACUGCUCAUUUGGCCACUCUGCAAAUUGGACUUGCCCGCGUUCCUGAAGCGCUCUCGAGCUGUUCUGUAAAUACCUGGUGCUAACAUCCCAUGCCGCUCCCUCCUCACGAUGCACCCACCGCCCUGAGGGCCCGUCCUAGGAAUGGAUGUGGGGAUGGUCGCUUUGUAAUGUGCUGGUUCUCUUUUUUUUUCUUUCCCCUCUAUGGCCCUUAAGACUUUCAUUUUGUUCAGAACCAUGCUGGGCUAGCUAAAGGGUGGGGAGAGGGAAGAUGGGCCCCACCACGCUCUCAAGAGAACGCACCUGCAAUAAAACAGUCUUGUCGGCCAGCUGCCCAGGGGACGGCAGCUACAGCAGCCUCUGCGUCCUGGUCCGCCAGCACCUCCCGCUUCUCCGUGGUGACUUGGCGCCGCUUCCUCACAUCUGUGCUCCGUGCCCUCUUCCCUGCCUCUUCCCUCGCCCACCUGCCUGCCCCCAUACUCCCCCAGCGGAGAGCAUGAUCCGUGCCCUUGCUUCUGACUUUCGCCUCUGGGACAAGUAAGUCAAUGUGGGCAGUUCAGUCGUCUGGGUUUUUUCCCCUUUUCUGUUCAUUUCAUCUGGCUCCCCCCACCACCUCCCCACCCCACCCCCCACCCCCUGCUUCCCCUCACUGCCCAGGUCGAUCAAGUGGCUUUUCCUGGGACCUGCCCAGCUUUGAGAAUCUCUUCUCAUCCACCCUCUGGCACCCAGCCUCUGAGGGAAGGAGGGAUGGGGCAUAGUGGGAGACCCAGCCAAGAGCUGAGGGUAAGGGCAGGUAGGCGUGAGGCUGUGGACAUUUUCGGAAUGUUUUGGUUUUGUUUUUUUUAAACCGGGCAAUAUUGUGUUCAGUUCAAGCUGUGAAGAAAAAUAUAUAUCAAUGUUUUCCAAUAAAAUACAGUGACUACC